CUAAUGUUGGCCCCUAGUAAUUUUAUAUUUAAAGAACAAACCGCUUCCCCAAACCAUAUGAGCGCGACAACGACUGUAAAAACAGAUUCUCGUUCAAUCUUGUCAGUAGACAAGGCAAGUGCUAAAGCAAUUACGAGGGAAAAAAUCAAAGGACCCCACAAGUCCCAGUCGCGUAGUACUUGAGCAUUUUUGGGAUACAAAACAUAGACGAGUUUUUCACCAAUAGCUCUAAAUUCAUUAAAUAAUGUAACACGAAUGGGUUCGUCCAGAGAAUCUCCUCCAGUGAAUCUUGUUUCAACAAUUGACUCUCCAGCAAUGUUGUCCGGCUCUAUCGCUCGAGACUCCACAUCGAGGCUGGAUCGAACAGGAUCCAUGCGAAGAAGAUUUUCCAUUUCAUCCUGUUCUAUUUCUGUGUUAUGUUUUCCUAUGUCUGUCAUUUCUAAAAUAUAAGAUGGUAAUUGAGUAUGGUUUUGGUUUGGUACUUCGCUGGUACAUUUCUCUGUUAAUUUUGUAGUAGCACACUACUAUGCUGGUCCUCAAAACAGUAAGAUACCACCACCAUGAAUCCUAAAGAUACAAUUAACUAUCAUUUCAGU